UUUUAUGAGAGUUUGAUCCUGGCUCAGGAUGAACGCUGGCGGCGUGCCUAACACAUGCAAGUCGAACGGGGCGCGCAGGCUGAGGCUUUUCGGAGCGGAAGCCUGCGCUGCCCAGUGGCGGACGGGUGAGUAACGCGUGGGCAACCUGCCCUGCACUGGGGGACAACAGCCGGAAACGGCUGCUAAUACCGCAUAUGCCCGCAGCCCCGCAUGGGGCGGCGGGGGAAGCUCCGGCGGUGCAGGAUGGGCCCGCGUCUGAUUAGCUGGUUGGCGGGGCAACGGCCCACCAAGGCGACGAUCAGUAGCCGGCCUGAGAGGGUGGGCGGCCACAUUGGGACUGAGACACGGCCCAGACUCCUAC
rnacentral:ncRNA from 1 species